ACUAUAGCUUGACACUGAACAUUGAGCCUUGAUGUGUAGGAUAGGUGGGAGGCUUUGAAGUGUGGACGCCAGUCUGCAUGGAGCCGACCUUGAAAUACCACCCUUUAAUGUUUGAUGUUCUAACGUGGACCCGUAAUCCGGGUUGCGGACAGUGUCUGGUGGGUAGUUUGACUGGGGCGGUCUCCUCCUAAAGAGUAACGGAGGAGCACGAAGGUUGGCUAAUCCUGGUCGGACAUCAGGAGGUUAGUGCAAUGGCAUAAGCCAGCUUGACUGCGAGCGUGACGGCGCGAGCAGGUGCGAAAGCAGGUCAUAGUGAUCCGGUGGUUCUGAAUGGAAGGGCCAUCGCUCAACGGAUAAAAGGUACUCCGGGGAUAACAGGCUGAUACCGCCCAAGAGUUCAUAUCGACGGCGGUGUUUGGCACCUCGAUGUCGGCUCAUCACAUCCUGGGGCUGAAGUAGGUCCCAAGGGUAUGGCUGUUCGCCAUUUAAAGUGGUACGCGAGCUGGGUUUAGAACGUCGUGAGACAGUUCGGUCCCUA
rnacentral:rRNA from 1 species